ensembl:lncRNA
GCGACGGUUCGCGCAGGCGCAGUGGGGAGGCGUGGCGGCGCCGUUCCCGGGUGGUGACAGCUGUCUGGGUUCUUGCUGUAGUUGUGGGCUGGCUGGCGGGCUGGCGGCUAGCGGGCAAGACGGAAAGAAGAAGGAUCACCAGUGGCCCAAGCUUUAACCUUAAGAAGUUAGAAAAGGAGAAGAUGAAACCCAGAGUUAGCAGAAGAAAAAGAGUAAUAAAAAUGCUAGCAAAAAUCCAUGGAUUAUAAUACAAAAUAACACAAAAAUCAAUGAAACUCAAAGCUGGUUUCUUGAGAAUAUCAAUAAUGUUGAUAAAAUUCAAUAUUUUGAUCAGGAAAAAAAGAGGAGAUGCAUAUUGCAAAAAUCAGGAAUAAGAUAGAUGACAUCACUGCAGAUUAUACAAAUAUGGUAAAGAGAUGAGAGAAGAAUACAUGCAUAUGGCCAGCAGAUACAUGAAGAGAUACUCAACAUCCGUAGUCAUCAGGGAAAUGUGAAUCAAAACCACAAU